rnacentral:rRNA from 1 species
AUUGAACGCUGGCGGCAUGCCUUACACAUGCAAGUCGAACGGUAACGCGGGGCAACCUGGCGACGAGUGGCGAACGGGUGAGUAAUGCAUCGGAACGUGCCCAGUCGUGGGGGAUAGCCCGGCGAAAGCCGGAUUAAUUCCGCAUACGACCUACGGGGGAAAGCGGGGGACCGUAAGGCCGCGCGCUAUUAGAGCGGCCGAUGUCAGAUUAGGUUGUUGGUGGGGUAAAAGCCUACCAAGCCGACGAUCUGUAGCUGGUCUGUGAGGACGACCAGCCACACGGGGACUGAGACACGGCCCAGACUCCUACGGGAGGCAGCAGUGGGGAAUUUUGGACAAUGGGGGCAACCCUGAUCCAGCCAUGCCGCGUGCGGGAAGAUGGCCUUCGGGUUGUAAACCGCUUUUGUCAGGGAAGAAACGCUCUGGGCUAAUACCCCGGGGUAAUGACGGUACCUGAAGAAUAAGCACCGGCUAACUACGUGCCAGCCGCCGCGGUAAGAC